rnacentral:rRNA from 1 species
GAUGAACGCUGGCGGCGUGCUUAACACAUGCAAGUCGAGCGGGAAGCUAUUUUAUGAAUCUUCGGAGGAAUAAAAGAGUGGAGAGCGGCGGACGGGUGAGUAACGCGUGGGAAACCUGCCCUAUACAAGGGGAUAGCCUCGGGAAACCGUGAUUAAUACCCUAUAAAACUUUAUGAACGCCUGUAAAUAAAGUCAAAGAUUUAUCGGUAUAGGAUGGUCCCGCGUCCCAUUAGCUAGUUGGUGAGGUAAGGGCUCACCAAGGCGACGAUGGGUAGCCGGCCUGAGAGGGUGAACGGCCACACUGGAACUGAGACACGGUCCAGACUCCUACGGGAGGCAGCAGUGGGGAAUAUUGCACAAUGGGGGAAACCCUGAUGCAGCGACGCCGCGUGAGCGAAGAAGGCUUUCGAGUCGUAAAGCUCUGUCCUAAGGAAAGAUAAUGACGGUACCUUAGGAGGAAGCCCCGGCUAACUACGUGCCAGCAGCCGCGGUAAUACGUAGGGGGCGAGCGUUAUCCGGAAUUAUUGGGCGUAAAGGGUUCGCAGGCGGCCAGGUAAGUCAGAUGUGAAAUCUAUUGGCUUAACCAAUAUAAGCAAUUGAAACUGCUUGGCUUGAGUACAGGAGAGGAAAGCGGAAUUCCUAGUGUAGCGGUGAAAUGCGUAGAUAUUAGGAGGAACACCAGUGGCGAAGGCGGCUUUCUGGACUGAAACUGACGCUGAGGAACGAAAGCGUGGGGAGCAACAGGAUUAGAUACCCUGGUAGUCCACGCUGUAAACGAUGAGUGCUAGGUGUUGGGUGUCGAAGCUCAGUGCCGCAGCAAACGCAUUAAGCACUCCGCCUGGGGAGUACGGUCGCAAGACUGA